rnacentral:rRNA from 1 species
UCNUGGGGGAAACCCUGAUCCAGCAAUGCCGCGUGAGUGAAGAAGGCCUUAGGGUUGUAAAACUCUUUCACUGAUGAAGAUGAUGACGGUAAUCAGAGAAGAAGCCCCGGCUAACUCCGUGCCAGCAGCCGCGGUAAUACGGAGGGGGCUAGCGUUGUUCGGAUUUACUGGGCGUAAAGCGCACGUAGGCGGCGUAGCAAGUCAGAGGUGAAAGGCCCGGGCUCAACCUGGGAACUGCCUUUGAUACUGUUAUGCUUGAGUUCGGAAGAGGGUAGUGGAAUUCCAAGUGUAGAGGUGAGAUUCGUAGAUAUUUGGAAGAACACCGGUGGCGAAGGCGGCUACCUGGUCCGAUACUGACGCUGAGGUGCGAAAGCGUGGGGAGCGAACAGGAUUAGAUACCCUGGUAGUCCACGCCGUAAACGAUGAGUGCUAGUUGUCGGGACGCUUGCGUUUCGGUGACGUAGUUAACGCGUUAAGCACUCCGCCUGGGGAGUACGGUCGCAAGAUUAAAACUCAAAGG